UUGAAAGAAGUGAGCCUUGAGUCAGAAAGAAGCUACUUGAAAAAGCUCAAAAAAGUCAAGAGUCAGCUAGACCAGGCAAAAUUGGCCUUUCCUUUUCUGCUCUGUUCCCGUUACACGACAAAGAGCAAAGAGGGGCAGCUGUAAUAGGCCUAUUUUGCCUAAACCCAAUUAAAAUACAAAAACUAAUAAAUAACCCCAAACCCAAAACUUAAUACCCAAUAACAAACCCUAGCCCAACAACAAAAUAAAACAAAAAAACCCUAAAAAAAUUAGCAGUCGCCGCCCCAACUCCAGCCGCCGCACGUCUCAGAACUAGCCUCCGCGCGCGCCACCUUCUUCGCCUGCAAAAGGACUAGGAGAGUCCAACAAUAACACAAACAGUGUAAAAAAUAGAAAAAAUAAGAAAUUUUGGGGCUAUAUAAAGACCCGAAUCUAUGUAUAUUAAAG
rnacentral:lncRNA from 1 species